rnacentral:tRNA from 1 species
GGACGUGUGCCCGAAUCAUUAAGGGCUACUUUGAUAGAGUAUGCUAUAGGGGUUAAAAUCCUCUCACCUCC